UUGACUGAAGAAAUGCCCAACAGGUCUUUAUAUACAAGGACUCUGAGAGUAAUGCCUCCUACCUUACUUUGUUGGACCACAACAUCAGAGGCGGAUGGUAGUGGUAUGGCUGAACCUUCUCACCAGUACUCCAAGACUUUUUCUUGCAGUGCAACAGAUGGCAUCAGAAAGGCAGUCUGACAAAGCGGUGUCUGACAUGGAAGUGCGAAUGAAGCAAAGUUUACAUGAAAUAAUCCCGUGUAUGACAGAGCAGAAGAAGAAGCAAGACCCUAUAAGGAAGUAUGUGAUCAACUCAGCAGAAAUACAAGUACUCGGAAAGCUGCUAACAAGUCACCUUAGAGCUCCAGCUCUUUCAGCCUGUCCAUAUAGGAUAAGUGUUCCAUCCCUUGGUCCAUUUUUGUGGCCCUCCUCUGGACACAGUCCAACAGGUUCACAUCUCUCCUGAACUGAGGACACUCCACAUCUGGACACAGUUCUCCAGGGACUUCAUCUGACUACCAUGACUUCUCAAAUGUCAUCAAGAGGGGCUUGGCUACUACAUCAGGCCACUCCCUCAGGACUCUGGGAUGCAUCUCAUUUGGACCAUAGGCUUGUAGAUGUUCAGGUUCUCAGGUGGUGACAAACAUGAUCUUCACUUACAGUGGGAGGGAUAUUUCUUCUUCAGGCCCCUCCUUCCAAACCGCAUAUUUCAGGGCUAUGUGAUGAGCAGUUAUCAGAGAAGACCGAGGCAAAAAAAGUUGCUGAUUACUUCAGUUUUCUUCUUGUCUGUUGUUACCAGCUUGCUUGUGUCAUAUGCUGCAUAAAAGUGGUUAUUGAGAACAAUCAUGUCUCUUGCUUGUCUGUACUCUUCAGAGUACUUUAUAGUUUUG
ensembl:lncRNA